GGUGAGUGCCUAGCAUACUACACACCAGAACCAACACACAGGACCCAAAUCAGCAUACUCUGAAGUCACAACUAGACACAUGGGCUCAACUGUCAGAGGAAAUCUUCCUAGAAGGAGCCCACCCCAAAGAGGCCUUGAAACCAGCAGCUGAUCGAUGACUUGGUUAAACAACACUGGCCUACUUCAGACCGCAGGGAGAUGGCUGAGAUCAGAUGGAUUACACAUCCAUCAUAUGAGGUACAAUGACAAAUUUCCAGAGACUGAAGGAUAUUGAGAAAACAGCAGGGCCUGGGGGGGAUGGAGUUUGCACAGGUGCCUCAGAACUAUCUUUAAAUCAACCAGUUCUAUUGCAUUCUAGUACCAGCUCAGCCUUGGCUGAGUGACACCUGGCAAAACAGCCUUGCUGAGCCUUGGUUUCCUCAUCUGUGAAAUGGGGAUAAUAUCUGCCUCAAAAUAAGAUAAUGAGUGAAUGCAUUUUGAAAACAGCGGAACUGCUGUAAAACUCACAGAGGAGGUUAUUAUGAUUUGCCCUGAAUAUGACUUGACUCACCAAGCAAUGUUCUCUUAAUCUGGUUUCCCAAGGAAACUCCUACUGACCCACCAAGGCAAUUGUUUAUGUGACCUCAGCAGCUCCCCUCCUUUCUGGACCUUAAUUUUAUCAUUUGUAAAACAAGGACUUGGGCUUGAUAACCUCCAGGGCCCCUGACAUGCUGUAAGAUUCCUCACAUGAGAUAUGCUCUGAUUCCCUAUUUUUCACUGUAAGGUCACAGAAGGCAAAUUUGUGAGCUCAUCUCCCUGAGUCACCCUGGGUGACUGAGUUUCUACAUGUGCAAGCCUAAGGCACUUGCCCCAUCCUUAUCAUUAGGCUCUGUACUGGAUACCGCCAACUCCUGCAACAGAAUAACUCCCAGAGCACCCCAAAAGGAAAUGGAGAGACACGGGAAGAUGGCUGUCUGGCCCAAGUGUAUCCCCACUCAGCCUAAGAUUCAUUUUGCCCUUGGGCACUGCUCAUCAGUUACAGCUGCCACCACAGAAGGAAACACCUCCUUCCAUAAUAAAACAAAAAGCCAGAUUCUUCAAGGUUGCCCAUGUAAGGAAAAACUUGGAAGGUCUGGAUUUAAUUUUAUUAAGGGAGCCCCAAGCCAGCAGAAGGCCAAAAGGCAAUUAACAAAAGAGGUGGAGUAUGCAAAUGUCCUUUGCCAAGGCCUGAAUUUCAAAAUCUAAGGGGCUGGAGGAAGAAGGAAAGCGAGAACUCACACAUCCUGAGUACGUACUAAGGUGCCAGGAAAUGACCUUCCCAUCAUCCACAAUGAAAAGAGCUACCUAUGUACCUACUGGAUGCCACACCCUUUAUAUAUGUACCACUUCCACACCAAUUCUGCAAGAUAAUAUUAUGCACUUUUUAUAGAUGAAGAAACAGGCUUUGGAGUUGUCCUGCUUUCCUCAGCUACCUUCUUUACCGAGCGUCUGGCUGUGGCCACCUGUUGAUAAUGGUCAGGCUACAUCAUAAACAAGUCUUUAGGGGGAAAAAAAAUCAAUUCAUAUUAAUGGAGCAGAACAGGACUGGAAGAACAGCAAAGGGUAAAGGAAGGAGGUGCUGGGAUUCAUCUGGAUUAUAGUCUCAUCCAUUUAGAAGCCUCAAAACACACCCAACCCCACGGGCCUCCUGUUAUUGGUGCCUAGGAGUGCUGGUGAUGCAGAGGCCGUCCCCAGCUCCUUUCAAGAUCUGAGAGAGGCCACCAGGCCUGCCGCAUUGACCAUCAAGCAGCUCAGCCCCUUCCUACUGCCUUUGUUGGGUGGGGUGGGGGGCCAGACUGUUGUCUGGCAGCCAAGAAGGAACAAAAGGCUUAUUCACUGACUCAGCUUCUCUCCUAAGGGGGUGGAGUAGUGUUGACUUACAGUUUUUCCCUUGCCUUUUUAUCAGAAAAUAAACGCUCCCUCCGGAUAGCACAGACACUGCGCUUGGGGCAGGGACAGGGAGCUGCAGACUGGCUGGCUGAACCCCGUAGCCUAGACAACCAUGACAAAGACCCGACAGGCUGAGCCCUCACCCGCCCUCACCCACCCCCACCUGCAGCCCUACUCCCCUGAGCAGAAGCCUGGUUCCUGCUUGCCCUUCCCAGCCAGGGGAAAACUCCAUCCUAUUAGCCUCAUGGUCCUUUGCAGAGUCCAAGGGUUACAGUAAUUCCAUCCAUGACUGCUCCAGAGCCAUGAUCCAGCGCUGAGCUGGCCAGAGUCAGCAGGUGUGAAUGGAGCUGCUGCCUGCCUCUGAUACCCUCUUUGGAGUGAUGGAAACACCCCAGACUUCCUUCAAGCAACACAGAUGAGGAAACUCAGGAAACCAGAGAAGGUAAAUUACUUGUCUGGUGUCACAUCCAGAAUUGGCAGCAGUUGCAAAAUUAUAUCCUGGUUCUUUUGACUUCCAGACCCAGGUAUUUUAUUUUCAAAGUUUCCAUGUUUCCUACUAUCCUUUGCAAUUCAAAGCAGAUUUGCGCGAUGCUGCUGAGCCUCGCUGGGCUUUUGGGAGAUACUGAUAAUCCUUGGACACAUCUUACUGGCUGUGUAGCUUAGACAUGGCACUUAAUUCUUCUAGGUCUCAGCAGCUUAUUGUAAAACAGUGUAAAAAGUGAACCUUGUAAGUGUGGUCAUGAGGCUUGGGCCAGAUCAUCAGGAAGAGCAUUCAGUAAGGCCCUAUUUAUUUAAAAAGCAUGCAAUAAAUGUUGGCUGCUAUUAUGAUUA